GAUGAAGAACGUAGCGAAAUGCGAUAAGUAAUGUGAAUUGCAGAAUUCCGUGAAUCAUCGAAUCUUUGAACGCACAUUGCGCCCCCUGGUAUUCCGGGGGGCAUGCCUGUCCGAGCGUCAUUUGCAACCCCUCAAGCACGGCUUGUGUGUUGGCCCAUCGUCCCCACGUCUUCGGACUGGCGGGACGGGUCCGAAAUGCAGUGGCGGCGUCGGUACGACCUCGCAAGCGUAUGGGGCUUUGUCACACGCUUAGCGGUCCGCGUACCCACGUCCCUUACAACCUCUCUUUCUCAGGUUGACCUCGGAUCAGGUAGGGAUACCCGCUGAACUUAAGCAUAUCAAUAAGCGGAGGA
rnacentral:misc_RNA from 1 species